GUACACACCGCCCGUCACGUCACGAAAGUCGGCAACACCCGAAGCCGGUGGCCCAACCCUUGUGGAGGGAGCCGUCGAAGGUGGGGCUGGCGAUUGGGACGAAGUCGUAACAAGGUAGCCGUACCGGAAGGUGCGGCUGGAUCACCUCCUUUCUAAGGAGCACACACCCCGACCAUCAGCUGGCUGGCCACAAGGUCCAGUGCUGUCUGGUGGCGCAUGGUGGUGUCUCACUAGUGGAACGUCGACUGUCAGUGCUGGUUCGGUGUCCUGUUGGAUGCCAUGAGCUGGUGGCUGGUCAUCUGCCUCACGUUGGUGGGGGGAUGGUUGAACACACUGUUGGGUCCUGAAGAAUCAGCCGCCCAGGACGGGUUUUGUUCUGGUGGUUGGGCUUCUGGUCCUCCUUUCGUCCAAUGCUCCUUCGGGGGUUGCGGGGGUUGGUGGGGUUGUUGUUUGAGAUCUGCAUAGUGGACGCGAGCAUCUUCACAGCCGGCGUGCCUUCGGGUGGUGCUGGUUGUGUGUAUGUGUAUGUAGUGCUGGCUGGUUCUUCCUUGUCUUGAGGGGGCCGGCUGGCGGCUGGUCUGCCCUGUGAUUGGGGGUGGGCUGGUGUGUUGUUCAUGUGUGUUGUCUUGACGUUGUUGAGACAAGCUAUGAAGGGCGCACGGUGGAUGCC
rnacentral:misc_RNA from 1 species